rnacentral:rRNA from 1 species
UACGGGGGGGCAAGCGUUUGUUCGGAAUUACUGGGCGUAAAGGGCGCGUAGGCGGCUCUGAUCGUCGGAUGUGAAAGGCCUGGGCUCAACCUGGGAAUGGCAUCCGAUACGGGCGGGGCUGGAGUGUGGGAGGAGGUUGGUGGAAUUCCCAGUGUAGAGGUGGAAAUUCGUAGAUAUUGGGAAGAACACCGGUGGCGAGGCG